rnacentral:ncRNA from 1 species
CCCACCAAUAGGGAACGUGAGCUGGGUUUAGACCGUCGUGAGACAGGUUAGUUUUACCCUACUGAUGAACCGCGCCACAAUAGUAAUUCAACUUAGUAUGAGAGGAACAGUUGAUUCACACAAUUGUUCAUCGCACUUGGUUGAAAAUCCAGUGGCACGAAGCUACCGUGUGUCGGAUUAUGACUGAAUGCCUCUAAGUCAGAAUCCAUGCUAGAAGCAGCACUUAUCACUCCUCGAAUGUAUCUUGACCCGCAGUAGGGGUGUUUCUUCGGCACCCCCAGGGUCCCGUGUCACUUGCGAACCUCGGCCGGGAAGCGUCUUGGUCGGGGCAACUUUGAAGUUCAAUUUCAAACGGUCGUUAAGAAGAAUCCUUUGCAGACGACUUAAAUACGUGACGGGGUAUUGUAAGUGGCAGAGUGGCCUUGCUACCACGAUCCACUGAGAUUCAUCCCUUCAUCGCCUCGAUUCAG